CUAAUACAUGCAAGUCGAGCGCGGGAAGCAGACUGAAGCCUUCGGGCGGACGUCUGUGGAACGAGCGGCGGAUGGGUGAGUAACACGUGGGCAACCUGCCUGUAAGCUCGGGAUAACUAGCGGAAACGCUAGCUAAUACCGAAUAACGCUGCGCACCGCAUGGCGCGCAGAUGAAAGGCGGCGCAAGCUGCCACUUACAGAUGGGCCCGCGGCGCAUUAGCUAGUUGGUGGGGUAACGGCCUACCAAGGCGACGAUGCGUNGCCGACCUGAGAGGGUGAUCGGCCACACUGGGACUGAGACACGGCCCAGACUCCUACGGGAGGCAGCAGUAGGGAAUAUUCCGCAAUGGGCGAAAGCCUGACGGAGCGACGCCGCGUGAGCGAUGAAGGUCUUCGGAUCGUAAAGCUCUGUUGUUAGGGAAGAACAAGUACCGGAGUAACUGCCGGUACCUUGACGGUACCUAACCAGAAAGCCCCGGCUAACUACGUGCCAGCAGCCGCGGUAAUACGUAGGGGGCGAGCGUUGUCCGGAAUUAUUGGGCGUAAAGGGCGCGUAGGCGGUCUCUUAAGUCUGAUGUGAAAGCCCCCGGCUUAACCGGGGAGGGUCAUUGGAAACUGGGGGACUUGAGUGCGGAAGAGGAGAGUGGAAUUCCAUGUGUAGCGGUGAAAUGCGUAGAGAUAUGGAGGAACACCAGUGGCGAAGGCGA
rnacentral:rRNA from 1 species